rnacentral:lncRNA from 1 species
UUUGAGUUGAGUAUACAUUGCACUUACUUCUAGUAAAUUUAGUAUAAAUAUAUUCACUUCACCAAUUCUUGACAUGUCCUCUCAUAUGAAGAUGUUGAGGAAUAAGGAAUUUUGGUUGUCAUUCUUUGUUCUUGGCCUUCUUGUCAUAUGUGAGUUGAUUUUUCAUUUCAUAAAUGAUUAGAGUAUCUUAAUGGACAUAUUGUAGUUUUAAACAAUAAUCUAUUAUAAAAAGUUUGAUGACACAGUGACAACAUCUUAUGUUCGUCUUUUACAAUAUCACGAUAAUUUGGAAAUUUUCGCAUUCAUCUCCAUCAAUAUUUUACAUGUUAAUUUGUUCACAUCUGUGGUAUAAUCGUUAUAUUUAAUGUUAUGAAUUCGUUUGUGCAGUUGUAAAUGGGAACAACAUUGGUGAUAAAGCUUUAAAAACUACCUUAAUAAAGACUAUUUUGGGAGAUGCAAGCCCACAACCGUCUACUAUGGAGUAUGAUAAUCCUCAUCACGAUGCCAAGCUUAGAGGUGUCUGUGUACCACUUCCAUCAUCACAUUGUAAAGGAACAGAUGGAGCUUGCUAUUGUUGUAUUGGUCCAAAUAUGAAUAUAUGCAUACGAGGUCUUAGUUUGUGUAAUACUAUAUGUUCUUAAAAUAUGAGUAGAUAGAUUUUUUAUAUGUAAGUUAGUCGUUUUCAAAAUAAAAUUAAAUGGUUUUGUGCUUACCAAAUGUCAUAAAAAAUUCAAUUCAUAUGUUCUUAAUUGAACAUAACCCUUAUUUCGUACCAAAUAAUAUUUGUUUUCUUAAAAUAUGUAAUUGAAGUUAUUUGAAUAAUAGAGAAAUAUUUAAUUUUCUUCUUGUAAGACUUACAGACAAAUUCAAUGAUAUAUUGAUUAAAAUUAAAUUAUUUAUGUAACAAUUAAUAAGUAAAACUAAAAACAAUAUAAAAUUUAUAGAAAAAUAUAUGGAUGCCGAAGAAAACUAUUUGAAAGCUAUCAUAUUAUAAAUAAGGAACAAAAUACAAAAUAAUGAAAGAUAAAUGUAUCUCCGAAUAUUGUAAAUUAUAUUUAAAACUACAUAAACCAUUACAAUAAUAAAGUGAUAGGCUAUUAAUAUUUAUAUUAUAUUUUCAUAACAUGUACAUGUGUUUAUGUGCCUUAAGGACAUUUAUUUGGAAGACAUGAUCAAGAAACUAUAAAAUUUGGUUUUAUAGAAGUUUUCAGAAAACAUAUAUAUUAGCUACUAAAGGCGUAGAAUUAAAUGAAAACAUGCCUCUAAAAGCUCGGAUAAGGCAAAAGGUACUUCUAGCAGAUUUCGUAUUAUGUGUUUUUUUAUUAAAAUUAAAAUCUAAGAGCUUGUACAUUCUAACCUAGUUUUUUUUUAUUCGAGUUUUCUUUUGUAAAUCAAAAACUUUUAAAAAUCCAAGAAAUCUCAUGCCCGAGUAUGUCCAUAAUAUUUUCAAAAUAGAUGCGUGUUACAGCGACCUAUUUUAAAUAAUUUACAUUGUUUUUUUUCCUCUAAUAUAUAAAAAAGAAAAAAGAAGACAAAAUAAGUAUUUAUGAAAUGGUAAUUUGCAUCUAAGCGACAUUGUUUUUGUCACCUUCUAAACUACUUGAAAAAAAAUUAAAAUUUUAAAGCAAAAAUAAAAUAAAUAUUCAAAAACUAACUUAAAUAUUAUUGAAUAAACAGAAACAUAUGAAUUUUAACUUUACUAUUAAUAUGUUGUAAUUAUGAAGGAUACUUAGUUAGAAUAAUAAUUUACAAAACGCUCAUUUGAGUUGAGUAUACAUUGCACUUACUUCUAGUAAAUUUAGUAUAAAUAUAUUCACUUCACCAAUUCUUGACAUGUCCUCUCAUAUGAAGAUGUUGAGGAAUAAGGAAUUUUGGUUGUCAUUCUUUGUUCUUGGCCUUCUUGUCAUAUGUGAGUUGAUUUUUCAUUUCAUAAAUGAUUAGAGUAUCUUAAUGGACAUAUUGUAGUUUUAAACAAUAAUCUAUUAUAAAAAGUUUGAUGACACAGUGACAACAUCUUAUGUUCGUCUUUUACAAUAUCACGAUAAUUUGGAAAUUUUCGCAUUCAUCUCCAUCAAUAUUUUACAUGUUAAUUUGUUCACAUCUGUGGUAUAAUCGUUAUAUUUAAUGUUAUGAAUUCGUUUGUGCAGUUGUAAAUGGGAACAACAUUGGUGAUAAAGCUUUAAAAACUACCUUAAUAAAGACUAUUUUGGGAGAUGCAAGCCCACAACCGUCUACUAUGGAGUAUGAUAAUCCUCAUCACGAUGCCAAGCUAAGAGGUGUCUGUGUACCACUUCCAUCAUCACAUUGUAAAGGAACAGAUGGAGCUUGCUAUUGUUGUAUUGGUCCAAAUAUGAAUAUAUGCAUACGAGGUCUUAGUUUGUGUAAUACUAUCUGUUCUUAAAAUAUGCAUAGAUAUAUUUUUUUUUAUAUGUAAGUUAGUCGUUUUCAAAAUAAAAUUAAAUGGUUUUGUGCUUACCAAAUGUCAUAAAAAUUUGAAUUCAUAUGUUCUUAAUUGAACAUAACCCUUAUUUUGUACCAAAUAAUAUUUGUUUUCUUAAAAUAUGUAAUUGAAGUUAUUUGAAUAAUAGAGAAAUAUUUAAUUUUCUUCUAGCAAGACUUACGAACAAAUUCAAUGAUAUAUUGAUUAAAAUUAAAUUAAUUUAUGUAACAAUUAAUAAGUAAAACUAAAAACGAUAUAAAAUUUAUAGAAAAAUAUAUG